rnacentral:RNase_P_RNA from 3 species
GAAGCUGACCAGACAGUCGCCGCUUCGUCGUCGUCCUUUCGGGGAGACGGGCGGAGGGGAGGAAAGUCCGGGCUCCAUAGGGCAGGGUGCCAGGUAACGCCUGGGGGGGGAAACCCACGACCAGUGCAACAGAGAGCAAACCGCCGAUGGCCCACGCAAGUGGGAUCAGGUAAGGGUGAAAGGGUGCGGUAAGAGCGCACCGCGCGGCUGGUAACAGUCCGUGGCACGGUAAACUCCACCCGGAGCAAGGCCAAAUAGGGGUUCAUAAGGUACGGCCCGUACUGAAUCCGGGUAGGCUGCUUGAGCCAGUGAGCGAUUGCUGGCCUAGAUGAAUGACUGUCCACGACAGAACCCGGCUUAUCGGUCAGUUUCACUU